rnacentral:rRNA from 1 species
GAGUUUGAUCCUGGCUCAGGAUGAACGCUGGCGGCGUGCUUAACACAUGCAAGUCGAGCGAAGCACUUUACUUUGAUUUCUUCGGAAUGAAGAGUGUUGUGACUGAGCGGCGGACGGGUGAGUAACGCGUGGGUAACCUGCCUCAUACAGGGGGAUAACAGUUAGAAAUGACUGCUAAUACCGCAUAAGACCACAGUACCGCAUGGUACAGUGGGAAAAACUCCGGUGGUAUGAGAUGGACCCGCGUCUGAUUAGCUAGUUGGUAAGGUAACGGCUUACCAAGGCGACGAUCAGUAGCCGACCUGAGAGGGUGACCGGCCACAUUGGGACUGAGACACGGCCCAAACUCCUACGGGAGGCAGCAGUGGGGAAUAUUGCACAAUGGGGGAAACCCUGAUGCAGCGACGCCGCGUGAAGGAUGAAGUAUUUCGGUAUGUAAACUUCUAUCAGCAGGGAAGAAAAUGACGGUACCUGACUAAGAAGCCCCGGCUAACUACGUGCCAGCCGCCGCGGUAAUUC